AGCUUUUCGCAAAGACGUUGUCGUACCCUACGAAGUGUGAACUGAGGGGCGACUAAUGCUAGUUGAAAACUUAUACCAAUACCUCACCUGGACGAUGUGUAAUACCACCGGUCGUGGAAAUUUUUGGGUGGCCCCAAUGGC